AAUAUGUUUGUGCCUCUUUGAAGUAUUUGCACCGCUAUUUGAUAAGUUCCUACGUGGAACGGAACGUUCCACAGCUGUCAAAAUAAUUUUACAGAACCUAUUGUAAUUGUUUAAGGGUUCAUUGACAUCAUACUCGAAAUCCAAAAGUAAUUGAUUAACAGUUUCAGAAUAAAGAUCCCAAUUAACGAGACAUGCUGCAACGCUCAGAAUUCUUACAGAAUUUAGCUAAAUGUCCAUACCUCAAGCACCGGUAGCAUUGUUUAACUGGUGGUAUAUAUGGAGUGACAUUGUGGCGCCAACCUCCAAUAUCCAGAUAUUCAGGUAAUACAGAUGCAGCAAAAGUAAUUGUCACGGUUAGAGUUGGCUGUAACACAUAUCCAUGAGUCAAGAUUCUGAGUCAGUAGAAGUAUCUUCCGAAUAUAUAUCCUUGUCAUUACAAGGUUCAUGGUCUACAUCACCUGAAUCGUCAUCUUUUUUUUUCCUUUUCCUACAACUGCGCUUCCCCAUGAAUGCUAAUUAUAUUACUGUCACUGAAUUUAGUGAAAAUAUAAUAUUUUAUUCAAUAAUAAGAAUUGAUAGAGAUAGUUUUUAUAAAUUAAUAAAAAAAAUUUAAAAAACCCGCUUGUUCUUAUUCGAGUUUCCCGCCUUUUUUUUCUUGACGUUGUUGUUAUCUCGUUUCAUUUAUACAUACACGUCAGUCACAUCAAACAAAAUGUUGUUUCAUCAGUCACUUCAAUCCACAGUAUAAAAAAUUUUGAUAAAUUUUGAAACAUUUCUAUAACAAAGAUAAAGAACCUAUGAUAUCCUAACACAGUAUCCUAAAGACAACCAGUCUAAAAUGUUUUGAGUUCAAUAGCUCUGCCUACGCUAAUAAUUUGCGCUUGUGGGUUGCCAAUUAAAGAUGAUAGAUGAAAAUAAAAUGAUAGGUCAGUUAGGCAGUGCGACGAAUACAAUGGGAAUUAAUCAAGAUGAUUUUCAGGAAAAAACGCGUGAGGCUCAAUUUUGCUGAACUAUUGGCAGCCACCACGUUGUACACCUUUUUAGUGUAUUUUUUUUUAUCCGACUUAUAUGAUGUUUUAUAUUUUACUCUUCUAUUAACGUCUAAGAAAUAACAGUCAGCCUGAUAGGCUAUAUAGCAUUGGGGGUGCUCGGCCUCUUUGCUAACAAUCCUUCCUCUCACUCCCUUAACGUCAUUAACAAAUCGUUUACUUAGGUACCUUUGUGCCAUUCGUGUUAAUACCGUAAAGCAGUUGUGUUUGUUUGGUUGUUUCGAUUUGAAGGGUUUGUUAUGGAUGAUAAUGGAAUGGUAGGCCCGCUCGCGCUAUCGGUAUACACUGGCGGGGCACCAGUGAGGGAUGAUUGGUGGAGGUAAAAGGUAGGUCAAUUAGCUCAUCGUGACGAAUUUAACGAUAAAUUAGUCACGAUGGUUUCUAGGGGGAAUCGCGUGGAGGUCGACCUGUUAAGGUAUAUUGAUAACAAUGGGGACUUACCUCCCCAUUACUAACAAUCUUUUGCCCCCCUCGUAUUGAUAUAAUAAUGAGUUUAUAGGGUAUACAGAAAUAACACCUGAGUCCUCAGAAAUAGCAACGCAUGGGAGGUAUCCUGGGCGAAACAGUAUGGCGAAACUAUGUCCAAGCUUAUGUCUGUAGGCGACGGUUAUCACUUUCCAUGAGGUGGGUCGUCAGCUUGUUUGCCAUUGUAAGUUACAUUAUUAUAACAUAAAAAAUUAUAUUCUAAAAUGAGCGGUAGAUUAAUAAAAUAAAGUUUCGUAGAAAAAUAUCACUCCAGCAUCAAUUUUUUUUACUGCCGUAAAUCUGAUAACUAUAAUAAUUCUAUACCAGAAUCUUUGGUGUAACAUACAGCUCAGAAUAACGAAUAAAAUUCGAGACCAAAAAGGUUUUUUUUUAAAUAG